AUAUGGCGGCCACUGGAGUGAGAUAUGAUGAAGGGGCAUCUACUUUUACUUCCAAUUGUUUCCCUGUGCGGAGUUUUUACCGGCAGAACCUAGAUGGUGAUGGAGCCUGGCUGACAGCUUAUCAAGCCGAGCAACGAAAACGUUUCAAAGCAAUUCUGUGCAGUCGUCCCAAAACAUACUCGCAAAUUAGAGAGGAACGUAAAAGGUGCGAACGAGAGGGAACCAAGCUGACAGCUGACAAAUUCAAACAAGAUGAAGAAGAUGAUAUCCCCACUCUGGAUGGAUUCUUUUUGAUGAAACACUGCUGCGUAGAGGAUCCGUCCGAUCUGUGCUCUGUUAACAUCGCUGGCAAAGAAAUAUCAGAGGUCAAGGAAGAGGACUUUGCUCUCUUUGACAAUGUGGCUUACGUCAAUGCAGGGGAAAAUUACCUUCCCUUUGAGGCUUUCCGAGGAUUCCAGACUCUUCGAGAAUUGGAAAUGCCGCUGAAUGGUUUGAGAUGCUUGAAGAUUGAUCUGACAGACUUCCCUCAUCUUGAACUGUUAGACUUGUCCUACAACAAUCUGUCUCACGAAGAUGUGUUGCUGCUUGGGUUGCUUCAGAAUCUCAAAGUUCUGCAUCUGAGUGGCAACAAUUUCACCUCUCUACCAGCGGACAUGGCGUUACCGUAUAUAUCUCAAGAUAGAAAAUAUCGCCAGGCCAGAUAUCCUAAGCUUGAAAUAUUAAUGAUUGAUGACAAUAGGUUAUCGGACGUAACAGUAUUUGCAGCACUGGCUGGCUUACAGAGAUUGAAACAUCUGAACAUGGAGAAGAAUCUGGUGUAUUACGUCCCUCAGCUGAAAUCUGUAGAAGGGAAGGUCGUCACACAAGAAAGUAUACCACCAAAGAAGUUUUCAAAAUCCGCACGAAAGAGUGGCAGGUCAAGCCAGAGGUCAAGGUCGGCUGCUCACAAGGAUUCUGGGAAAAAGGCCACACCCACAAAUGCAGACGAAGGGAAGGUUUCAGAAGACACUAAAGAGGCAGAAAGUGAUAAAGCGCCAGUUGCAGUAACGGUCAUCAAAGAAGAUGUCACAGAUUCAGAACCACCACAACCGGUUAGUGAGGAAAACACUGGUGAUGAUCUUCUGAAUGCCGACCUCAGUUUAAAUCUGGGCAACAUCACGGAACGCAUGAACGCACUGCAAGGUAACAGCAGUGGCGACGUAUCGUAUCACGGUGGAGGAAUGGAGGAACUGCCUGCUAUGUCACUGUGUGCCUUUCCCGAACUCCGCUACAUCAGUCUGGCUUUCAACAAGAUUGAGGAUGAGGAGGGAUUACUGGCCGUGGCAGCGUGGCCAAUGUUGAUGGAGCUGGUGAUCCACGACAACCCUCUGACCACCGACAACUCAGGAGACCCGCCAUUACUGAAGAGAUUCCUUCAGGACAGACUGGGCAUCCAGAUUGUUAGGAAACUGAAAAAACCGAUACAGAAACCAGUCAUAGAUGUACCAGUGAAAAAACACAGAAAGGUGAGGGAUCAUGUCCCAAAGGUGCCACGCCCACCCCUCGAGGAACGUCUGAUGCUAAUGGGCCCUGAGCCACACCCACCAGCGAAGGUUGAAACGAAGGAGAGAAGUGACGUUUCAUCAGCAAACAUCCAAACCAGCAAACCCCUGCCUCCCAUCGGCACAAAACUGACGAAACCCGAAGACAAAGAGUCUGAACGUCCGACCGAAACAGCCUGGACGGAUGAGCAGACACAGGCCGUCAACGAACAGACACAGCCAUCCACCGAAGAUGCCUUUUUUAUGACCCAGGUAAAUGAACAAGAGGAGGAGACAACAGAACAAAAACAAGAGACCUCACAAGACAAGGGAGAGAAGCCAUCUAUGACUGUCGAUCGCUAUGAGGGCUACGAGGAAUUGCUCACCAUGGAUGACGUCGAGGUUGAAGAUGUCUGUCCUGCCAAAGAUAUUCAAGGCAAUCUUCGAGCUUUAAAACUUGCCCUGAACUAUCCGCUGGUGUACAGAGACCCUUCUGCAAGAUUAGACACAGUGCCGCGGCAAGUGAAGGAGUAUCGAAGGGUGCCAAUGCCUCCGCCACGUGCGAAAACGAAAGCCCAGAGGGUGAACGAAGUCCUUCACGAGUUGAAGACGCGCUCCACCGUGGACGAGGCGCCACUGUCUGAGGUGAUGUCUGGGGGAGACCCCGACAUGAGGAAACAAUUCCCUGAGGCAGAGAACCUUCUGGCCGAGAUACAAAGCUGCUACAAUACGGUGAGAGUGGAUUCCAUGAAGCACGCUCGACACACCCGUAAAGUGGUGGGCCAUGUUCUCGAGUCGGUGAAGAGCAGUGGAGUUAAACUGGCCAAGCUGGCCAACGAGCAAGUAACGUCGUGAUACGUUGGCGAAACACGAAAUCAUCACCUGUUAUAUUUGUGAACUGUAGAUUCAUACAGCUGUGCUUUCUCCCCAGCAUUUUGGCAUAAAAGCAGGACCUAAAAAUUGUAAUUCUGGUGUGACUGAAAUUCUUAUUGUGUAAACAUUUCAUUAUUUUGAUUACAAUUUCUACCCGUUUUUGACAGCAUCGAACUGCCUACAUUCAGGUGUAAGUGGAAGUGAACAGAUUGUCAUAAACUGGUAAAA
rnacentral:misc_RNA from 1 species